rnacentral:lncRNA from 1 species
GGCACACGAAGCAGCAUUGCCAUUUUGCAAGGCUAGUAAAGAGAUCACCUACCACCGAAGAUAGCAGAAAAACCAGUGAAGCACUAAAGACAAGAACCUGAACCCCACAUCAGCAGCAGCAACAGCAACAGUGACCUAUAGAACUCGUGUGCAUCCUGCAUCAGCAGCGUUAUCUGAGCAUCAAAUGAGAAGAUGCAGCAAGUAACACCAGAUGAAGAACUCAAAUGACAAGGAUUAGUGCAUUUCAACAAAUAGGUGGUCUGCAUAAGAUUGCUAGCUCGAGCAGCAGGCACCUGGACGGUGGGCAGACCUGGUUGCCAGUGCAGAGAGCGGCUUCCAUGAUGGCCUUGGCGUUGAGGUAGAUGUCCUGUGAGGAUGGCGGCAUACACAUUCGUGCGGGCGCAUCAUCUGGCAUGCAGUUUUACAAAAUUAUGAAUGAUAUGAUCCUGAAACAAUGAAGCAAAGAUUAAUCUACCUAGAAAACAUACACCAUCAUCGUAUAAAUUACGCAGGCAUGCUCUUAUACAGUGUUGAGAAGGAGAAUCAGGAAAUAAGAAAUAUAUGAUAUGUUGAUUUUUUAUACAAAAAUUGACAGUGAACCAAAAGAAAGGACAGGAAUCAGAUGACAUUCCUACAACAUUAAAGGUGUUAUAAAUCGGAAAUUCCACAAGAGCUCCGCACAUCUUAGUCUCUGUUAACAAUUAAAAGAAGCUUAUACUAACUCGGUUUGACAAUCGAUUUGUAACCAGUUGAACAACAUUUUAUGUCCGCCUCCCUUUCAUCCUUCGUCUUGACGAGCACCUGCCUCUGCACCAUCUGCAGCUACGUCUGUAUCAUCUGCGUUUAGUUCUGAUGUAAUAUCUUCUGAAACCUGCAAAUCAUGUCAUGAACUCAAUAGAAACACCU